GCUAACUAUAUAUACAAAUAUAUAUAAUAAACAAACAAAACAUUUGACCAACUCAGUAGAUGAGAUCGAACAGUAAAUAUCUUAGUACCGCAAGGGAAAUAAACAAGCAAUAAAAAGCAAAGAUA
rnacentral:rRNA from 1 species